rnacentral:rRNA from 1 species
AUCGAACGCUGGCGGCAGGCCUAACACAUGCAAGUCGAACGAGUGGCGGACGGGUGAGUAAUGUCUGGGAAACUGCCCGAUGGAGGGGGAUAACUACCGGAACCGGUAGCUAAUACCGCAUACCAUCGGAUGUGCCCAGAUGGGCUUAGCGAGUAGGUGGGGUAACGGCUCACCUAGGCGACGAUCCCUAGCUGGCCUGAGAGGAUGCCCAGCGACACAGGAACUAAGACACGGGCCAGACUCCUACGGGAGGCAGCAGUGGGGAAUAUUGCACAAUGGGCGCAAGCCGGAUGCGGCCAUGCCGGGUGUAUGAAGAAGGCCUUCGGGUUGUAAGGUACUUUCAGCGAGUAGGCGUUACUCGCAGAAGAAGCGCCGGCUAACUCCGUGCCAGCCGCCGCGGUAAUAC